UCCCUAUUUAUCUUCAAGAACCUUUUUUUGGAUGGCGUCGACAUAUCAUGGUUGUGAUUAUCGUUGAAGAUAGAUAUCAUCCACCUAUCUCCUUUUAUCCUAAUGGAUAGAAAAGCUCUGCAUCCUGUUCUCGAAUUUCUAAUGUGUCUAGGCUUGGUAGAUAUACUGCUUGGAUUUUCUUAUUUUUCUACUAUUGGUAUUUUGGCUUUUGAGGUACCCUCCUUCGAGC
rnacentral:lncRNA from 1 species